GGUGACUAGUGACAGAGAGAGGGAUGGGGUGACUAGUGACAGAGAGAAGGAUGGGGUGAUUAGUGACAGAGUGAGGGAGGGGGGUGACUAGUGACAGAGGGAGGGAGCGGGUGACACAGUGACAGAGUUAGGGAGGGAGUAACUAGUGACAGAGAGAGGGAUGGGGUGACUAGUGACAGUCACCCCCCCCUCACUCUGUCACCAGUCAUCCCCUCACUCUGUCACUAGUCACCCAUUCCCUCACUCUGUCACUAGUCUCCCAUUCCCUCCCUCUGUCACUAGUCUCCCCCUCUCCUUCCCUCUGUCACUAGUCACCCACUCCCUCACUCUGUCACCAGUCACCCCCACUCACUGUGUCUCCCCCUCACUCUGCCAC